CACGUAGUUAGCCGGUCCUUCUUCCUCCGGUACCGUCAGGUGACUCGCGUCACGUUCUUCCCGAAGAAAAGCGGUUUACACCCCGAAGGGCGUCGCCCCGCACGCGGCGUUGCUCCGUCAGGCUGUCGCCCAUUGCGGAAGAUUCCUUG
rnacentral:rRNA from 1 species